GAUGAACGCUGGCGGCGUGCCUAAUACAUGCAAGUCGAGCGAAUGGAUUAAGAGCUUGCUCUUAUGAAGUUAGCGGCGGACGGGUGAGUAACACGUGGGUAACCUGCCCAUAAGACUGGGAUAACUCCGGGAAACCGGGGCUAAUACCGGAUAACAUUUUGAACCGCAUGGUUCGAAAUUGAAAGGCGGCUUCGGCUGUCACUUAUGGAUGGACCCGCGUCGCAUUAGCUAGUUGGUGAGGUAACGGCUCACCAAGGCAACGAUGCGUAGCCGACCUGAGGGGUUGAGCGGCCACCCUGGGACGGGGCCACGGCCCGGCCUCCUACGGGGGGCAGCAGUGGGGAAUCUUCCGCAAUGGCCGAAGGCCUGACGGAGAAACGCCGCGGGGGUGAUGAAGGCUUUCGGGUAGUAAAACUCUUUUGUUAGGGAAGAACAAGUGCUAGUUGAAUAAGCUGGCACCUUGACGGUACCAAACAAGAAAGCCACGGCUAACUACCGGCCAGCCGCCGCUGUAA
rnacentral:rRNA from 1 species